rnacentral:rRNA from 1 species
UACAGGGGGUGCAAGCGUUACUCGGAAUUAUUGGGCGUAAAGAGCGUGUAGGCGGUUUGGUAAGUCUGAUGUGAAAGCCCCGGGCUUAAUCCGGGAAGUGCAUCGGAUACUGCCAGACUAGAGUACAGGAGAGGUGAGCGGAAUUCCUGGUGUAGAGGUGAAAUUCGUAGAUAUCAGGAGGAACAACAGCGGCGAAGGCGGCUCACUGGACUGUAACUGACGCUAAGGCGCGAAAGCGUGGGGAGCAAACGGG